AUCUCGCGUGCCUCGUGCGAGCAAAUGUCUCCCGCUGAGGUGAUGAAUUGCAUGAUAAUCCGUGUUUCUGAUAGCCAGUGAUUAUUAGCAUGCUCCGAUUAAAGUGUUAAGCGGUGAAACCGAACCCCAGUUAUGUCUAAACGGUCGGAUUUUUUGUAAUCUGCGAUGUUCGUUUACUUUUUACAGGCACCCGCAUUUAUGGAUAUGAGGUACCUUAGCGACUGAAAGCAGUAAAGUGUUGAGUAAGGUAUUUACUUCAUGUGACCAGACUGACUUCUAUUGAUUUGAAUGAACUCCACUGACCUUUAUUUUAAAAACCCAAUUAUUUCGUAGAAAACUAGUAUAAUUGUAACUUGUAGAAUAGUAUGUCCAUGUGCUUGCUAUCCUUGGAACUCUGAAACAUGCCAGCAAUAUACUGUCAGUCAGUGAUGUAAUGAUUUGAAACUGCUACAAUAAAUUCUCAUUUUAAAAUACAUGGCUGAUUCAUGGUGUGGGUUGUGUACAAGCAAUUAAUUUUAAAGUCCGCUAUAAAAAGAGAUUGGGUGUUUCCUUUCGUGUGUGACCACUUUAGUAGCUUUAUGCAUAAACAGUUUUUAAACAAUUUAAUUGUUUUAAAUUGUUUUAGAUAUUUCCAACAAGAAAGCCCAUAAAGGUGUGGUUCCUGCAUGAGUUUGUACUUUCAAAAGUGAGUUCACAAUGACUCUAAAAUACCUGUGAUCAUUUGCUGGUGACUUAAUAAUUCCAGUCCUGUAAAUGUAUACACGGUUAAGUAUUUACGCAAUCUUUGUUCAAAUUCACAAGAGGUAAUGCAAAGAUUUUAUAUAUACACAGAAUGUAAGUCUGGAUUUACCGUGGUUAUUCAAAUGAAUGUGUAACGGCAAUGCAGUCUUCAAAUGGGGGUAAUCCUGUAUCAGCAGUUUGUCAACUUUAAGGCUAAUUUAAAAUGAAAGCAAGCUGCAUAUAGCUCAUUUAUAAUGGAGUUAAAUCAAA